AUGGGGCGGCUGCCAGGGCUUGCAUCCACCGCUGCCAUCCUGCGGUUUGAGGUCACCGCUCCCUUUCCAGCCCCUCUUUCCUCCGCCCGAGCUCACGCCGCAGGGACAGCGGGCACGGGCCGAGCCCGGGGGGGGCCCACCCUGGGGUGCCACCCCCCCUCCCGGCACCCACCGUCCCCCCGCCGCGACACGGAGCUGCCGGGACCCCCGCGGCGGGGACACUCGGGAGGGUGCGAAGGGUCCCGUCCCCUCCCCGCUUCCCCGCAGCCCCCGAUGAGGGGCCGCUGGGGAAACCCUCGCCAUUGGGACCCCACCCGUGGGUUUCCACGCCGCGGGGGGGAAGAGGAGGAGGAGGAGGAGGAGGGCAGAGGGAAUGGGUGGCGGUGCUGGCAGCGGCCGCCCCCGUCCCGCCCCGUCCCGUCCCGCCCCGCCGCGGCCGCCGGGCACCGGGCACCGGGCAGGAGGAGGCUGCGGCGCCCAUGGAAGCGGCGGCGGCCCCGGUGCCGGGCGGCGGCCCCGGUCCCCUGCUGCUCUGCCUGGCCCUCGCCUCCGGUAAGCGGCGGCAGCGGGGCGGCGAGGGGGGGGCCUGCCCCGUUACGGGGCUCGCAUGGUCCUGGAGAGGGGUCCCCGCACCCUGAGCCCGCCCGGGGUGCUCCCGUCCCGUCCCGUCCCGUCCCGUCCCGUCCCGGUGCUCGCCGUGCCCAGCCCGGUGUCCCGCACGCCUGUCCCGAUGCCAUCUCCGGUCCCAUCCCCCGUGCCCCGCGGUGUCCCCAUGUCCUGUCCUGGUGGUCCCCGGUUGCGCCCGGCCGUGGGCGAGGGCUGCGCUCGGCUCUGAAUCCCUCGGGACUGAGCGGGGCACUUCUGUCACCUGCGCUGGGACCCUGCCCGCGGGUAGCCUUGUUGCCAUUGGACGUGUGGACAGAUGUGUGGACAGACGUGUGGACGUGUUGCGCUGUCCCAGGCAGCAGCAGGGAUGGAGGAUGCGGGCACAGCGAGCACCUCUCCAACAGGUGCACGCGUUGGCGCAGGAACGGGCGUCUUCCCGCUGCGGGGUCUGGCUCUUUGAGCACUAAAAGUGCACAAAAUGGGAAGGUCCCACCUCGGAGCGCUCCUUCCCACCUCUGGACGGGAGCAGCUCGGGCUCAGCCCUUUGGUGGGGCUGGUGUCACGCUCUGCCCAACCCGCACCCGCCCGGGGAAUGGUGCCCGACCUGUUUUGGGGCUGCGGUGCCCGGCACGGGGCGGAUGGAGAGCAUCAGAUCCAGCGCCGGGAGCCGCCGAUGGGCAGGCUGAGACCCAGGUUUUGGGGACCCCGCAGUGCCACCAGCACCCGCAGCAUCCCCGGUGCCACCACCCCGCUGAGGGGAGGCUGCCGGAGGGAGGCCACAGGGGCCUCGCGGAGGGCGGCUGCGGCAGCUGUUUGCAAUAA
rnacentral:lncRNA from 1 species